GGGAGGGAGAUGAGAGUGGAGUUCAUUAGCCAGUGAGGUAGAGAGGAAGGGAGGGUAGAUCGCCAGCCUUCUGGAAGGGUCUGUGGAACCAGGUCACCUGUUACCCAGAGCCACAAUCCCAAUUCCAAUAACCUACGCCCCCUUCUGGGCUUGAAGGCUAAAAACUGUUGCCCAGGACCUUUUCAAGUUGUUAGUUUUGGGAGGGAGGAGGCUCAGAAGGAGCAAGCCAGGUGAAGACCCCCACAUCCCUGGCCGCUCCAUUCAGAGCCUGGCAGCAGCAUAAGAACAAACCAGGUCAUAACCCUGCUUGGGAGAAGCCUGAGUCAACAGCAUCCCUCCUCCCAGCUGGCUUCACCCUAGAUGUGGGUCCUCCAGGCACUCGGCUUUCUGAACAAGAAUACUGACGGCUGGAGAACAACGGGAAUGGUGAGCGCGAUACUAAGGGAAGAGGGCUUGCAGCAGGUGCCUAACCCAGACUCCCCCAUUUGGCCCUAAAAUCCCAUCUGGAACAUCUGUGUCUCCCUCGAUGCCACCGCCAUUACCUCUUUCCUUGUUGAUAAGUGUGUUCUGCUUGGAGGUUAUUAUAAGAGUUGUUUUUUCCUCUAAUGAAUACUCACCAACUCAAGCUCAUCUAUUUCAGCUGGCUAGAUGCAAGUGUCCCUUGAUUAAUGGACCUGUCAGCUCGAUAAACUGAUAUCAUACAACAAUG